UUCCUCCUCGAGCUCAGAGCCGAACGACUCCUUAUUUCUCCAUUUCAAAUUAGCCUCUUCCCAUAUAUAGUGACUAACACAUGCUGCGCGACCGCUCAUUUCAUUUCUGAUUGUUUUUAGAAACCCUAGCGUCUCUGUUCUGAUCUGAGGACUUCUCCUUCAAGCCUCCAGCCACUUCUGUUUAGAACAUGAGAGAUGUCUCUCAUCUCUCGGCGCCUUCUCUCUCUUUAAUAUCAGAAAUUGCGCUCAUUUCUCCAACCUCAAGCAGCGCUCAUUCAUACAAACCAUCCAUUUCACAGCAGCUCCGUCUAAGCCCUGCAUCCUUUUCGCAGCCAAGAACCCAGCAACAUACACACCUCCGUGAGUACCCAGCGGGCCAGUCGUGAUGGGGAAAGCAUGAAAAAUUGGGAUGCUGAAGCAAGAAAAACUACCACGAGCCGCCAGCUCCGAGAGCACAGAGGUCAUCCAGCGCCCCCAAACUUGCAAUCUUAGCCGAUCUACACCUCAGGGGAAAAAAUUCCAUAUUUGUGGUCUGCACAGAACAAAGGAGAAGAUAUCUUCUCGGAGAUCACAGAUCCGAGCAAACACAAGGACAUUCGGGUUCAGUGUAUAGCCGAGAGAAGGAACGCCCUAAGCUGCUGGUCCAGAGGUCCCAAACGUACAAAAAUACGCUUCAAAGUUUCGGCAUCUGCAAAUCAGGAAGGUAAAGCUCUUUCUUCAGCUUUUGCUUGGCUCAACAUUUACAGAUUCGAAUACAUUUCAUUUAUCAUGUAUUAUCGAUAUGCUUCUUAGCUUGCACGACAAGUUGUUGA
rnacentral:sRNA from 1 species